GAUGAACGCUGGCGGCGUGCCUAAUACAUGCAAGUCGAGCGAACAGACGAGGAGCUUGCUCCUCUGACGUUAGCGGCGGACGGGUGAGUAACACGUGGAUAACCUACCUAUAAGACUGGGAUAACUUCGGGAAACCGGAGCUAAUACCGGAUAAUAUAUUGAACCGCAUGGUUCAAUAGUGAAAGACGGUUUUGCUGUCACUUAUAGAUGGAUCCGCGCCGCAUUAGCUAGUUGGUAAGGUAACGGCUUACCAAGGCAACGAUGCGUAGCCGACCUGAGAGGGCGAUCGGCAACUCGGGAGCGAGGAAGCGGUCCAACCUCCUAAGGAGGCAGCAGUAGGGAAUCUUCCGCAAUGGGCGAAAGCCUGACGGAGCAACGCCGCGUGAGUGAUGAAGGUCUUCGGAUCGUAAAACUCUGUUAUUAGGGAAGAACAAAUGUGUAAGUAACUAUGCACGUCUUGACGGUACCGAAUCAGAAAGCCACGGCUAACUACGUG
rnacentral:rRNA from 1 species